CUUGGGCCAAUGUCACGUCCCCGUGACCGCGACUUUGCAUUCGGAUGUCUGCCCUAUCAACUUUCGAUGCCUGAGAAAUGGCUACCACAUCCAAGGAAGGCAGCAGGCGCGCAAAUUACCCACUCCCAGCGCGGGGAGGUAGUGAAG